GAGGAUUUAGCUCAGUGGCAUAAGCACCUGCCUUGCAAGCAGGCGGUUGUGAGUUCAAUCCCUGGUUUAUCUCA
rnacentral:tRNA from 1 species